rnacentral:lncRNA from 1 species
GGAAUUGCCGCAUUUUUUCCGUUUUUUCGCUGUAACUGGAAAACGGUUAGAGAUAGGACAUUGUUGAUAGGGUUUGUUUUCAUCCCCAUGAGCUGUUCUAUCCACCCGCUUCGUUUGGCAGAUUAUCUCAAAAUCACUCUGUAUAUAGCAUAUUUUACGCCCCUUUCUAAUGGAGAUUAUUAAGGAACAGGAGUUCCGACGACGGAUUGCACCGACACCCGCGGCGAGGGGCCGGAUGGUGAAGGACGGGGAUCUCCAGGCCGGACCCAACAUCAAAAAAACUUUUCAAGAGUUACCAGACCCCGGAUCCUCCUGCGUGGCAUGCCGACAGCGUUACCACUCGGCCAUCUGGCCACCACUUCAUAUUCUUUUCGGUCAACAGAUGAUUUUCCACGUUCCAUUCUCUAAUA